GUAGCCUAGUGGUUAGAGUGUAGGGGGGCAGGUAGCCUAGUGGUUAGAGUGGAGGGGCGGCAGGUAGCCUAGUGGUUAGAGUGGAGGGGGGGCAGGUAGCCUAGUGGUUAGAGUGGAGGGGCGGCAGGUAGCCUAGUGGUUAGAGUGGAGGGGCGGCAGGUAGCCUAGUGGUUAGAGUGGAGGGGCGGCAGGUAGCCUAGUGGUUAGAGUGGGGGGGCGGCAGGUAGCCUAGUGGUUAGAGUGGAGGGGCGGCAGGUAGCCUAGUGGUUAGAGUGGAGGGGCGGCAGGUAGCCUAGGGGUUAGAGUGGAGGGGAGGCAGGUAGCCUAGUGGUUAGAGUGGAGGGGCGGCAGGUAGCCUAGUGGUUAGAGUGGAGGGGUGGCAGGUAGCCUAGUGGUUAGAGUGGAGGGGCGGCAGGUAGCCGAGUGGUUAGAGUGGAGGGGCGGCAGGUAGCCUAGUGGUUAGAGUGUAGUGGCGGCAGGUAGCCUAGUGGUUAGAGUGUAGUGGCGGCAGGUAGCCUAGUGGUUAGAGUGUAGGGGCGGCAGGUAGCCUAGUGGUUCGAGUGGAGGGGAGGCAGGUAGCCUAGUGGUUAGAGUGUAGGGGCGGCAGGUAGCCGAGUGGUUAGAGUGGAGGGGCGGCAGGUAGCCUAGUGGUUAGAGUGUAGAGGCGGCAGGUAGCCUAGUGGUUAGAGUGGAGAGGUGGCAGGUAGCCUAGUGGUUAGAGUGGAG
rnacentral:lncRNA from 1 species